UUUGGCUUGUGCGACUGACUCACGGACAAACAAAUCACUCUGCGAGAAGUGGACGGCGUGCACUAAAAAGGAUCUGGAGCAGAUGUUUCUUUGGCCUCAGUCUCACUUCCUUUCACCAGUUCUUCUUUCCCUUCCUCUUUUUGUCUGGAUGCUGAGCCGUUUUUGCUGUUUCUGUGGAAGCCCGACACAACAGACGCAGAAAAGCUCUCCACUGUCUUGGACUUUACCUUGUUUGUUUGCCUCUGCCUGCCAUAUGUGCCGUUUGUCAUUUCAUGGGUGUUUCUCUUCUUCUUCUCCUUCUCCUUCUUCUCUCCAUUAGUCAAGAGACAACCAGAACAGAAGCCACAUGGCAGAAACAUUUUCCAGCCCAGAAGGUUCACAAGUGUCGUCUUAGUCACACGUCUUUGUAGUGGCCUCCGCGGAGGUUUUUGUUGACGGAGCCCGUCAGAAGUUCGCCGACACUCUUACUCUGCACAAAUGUCACAUGACAAAAACCUAGCGCUGCCUCGAGAGCCGUUCUUCAGGCAGCAAGCAACUUCAACGGGUUUCAAAAACUCAGCACUAUUGUUGAUUUACUUAGAAACCACAGCAGCCAAUUACAAGGUUGUGGCAUACUUCGCUCUCUACAUAUUUGACCACAUUUCUGAGUGGAAUUGGCGGCGUUCAUUUAAACGAGUCGGUUUCUGGGUUCAGACGCAGCCUUUUCAGCGCAACUAAAGGUCGAGGUCAUGCCGAACGCUUAGUGCUAGCCCGAUUGUUUCCACUUUAAUGAACCGUUUUGAUGUGUGUUUGGGAUCUCGGAGUUGUUGGAUCACCCAGCUGUGUCAGAAUGUUUUCAUGUGGCGUUUUGAUGUGAGGUUGAAGACUAAACGUUCAUUAUUCCAUCCACUCGGUGCCGUGCACCAGAACCGCAGGCCCUUAGCAUGAAGCUGCCACCGCCGUGCCUAAAAGCAGCUACCAUCACUGACUUUAACUUUUUUUCUUUUAAGGUUUUGUUGGCUCUAGUGGCCUUUAUUUGAAAGUAGCUUGACAGGAAAGAGGGUCAUGACAGAGGGAGAAGACAUGAGGCAAAUGUCGCCAGGCUGGGAAUCGAGCCUGCGACCACCGCCAUGAGGACUAAGGCCUCAUGUCAGUAAGGGGUUGUGCUUUGCUCCUGCACCACCACAGCACCCCACUGACUUUAACUUCAUGAAAACAUCAUCUACUUUGUUGAAACUUGGAUGCAAGAUCAUAGAAAUCACAAAAAAAAAAAAAAAAACUGGCUUGGAAAGGGUAAAAGUAGGAAUGACCCCUAACUUCAACACACAUAAAUAUACAUCACAUAAAUUACUUUAUUUAUAUAUUGACUUUGUGUGUGUAGUAAAUUCCUUAAUCUGGGACCCGAGUGCAAAUUUAGUACUAGUGGAGGGGUUAUGUCUUGAGAAUUUAGACAUCCCAGGAUUGAAAACCCCUCUCUUGCCCGUGAUGAGCGUUAUGUGAACUUCUGACUUCUGUGGUUUGCCAGGUAUUUCCUUUAGAGACAGUGAAAGCAAGUUUGUGUGGUUGAGUUCGUCCUUCCCCAGGUGAAGAACGGGUUUGACAAUGGGGUAAAAAAAAAAAAAGUUAUCCCAGAUAUCCACUUCAGAGCGCUUGUAUUAUUUCAUUAGAUUGAUAUCAGGUUGUCUUACACCGCCCUCUUUCUCCCCCAGUCGCCCUUCUGUGGCUGAGUCUCUCAUUUCAGCAAAGACAAUGGCCUGUCUUUCCUGCAGUACUGAGUAAAUGUCAGGCAUACGCUUGAAGCUGCGCGGAGAAGGGAGGAUGUGGGGGUAGGGAUCGAUUCCAUAACUCCACGGACUGUUGACGGAGAAUUUCAGGAUUUUCACCAAGGGAGGGAGAAGGAGGCUGGAGGGAGCGGGUGGACAUGGUUCCUUUCAGAUAUAUUUCGAGAAGGCCCGUCCUGGUGGUGAUGACAACAACAUGUGUGCUGCUGAGCGGGUGUUUGCAGGCUUCAGAGAGAGACGUGAACAAUAGGUCAAGUCGUGGGCUGUAUGGCUUUGCUUGAUAAUUUCUGUAAGUUAUGAUUAGCCGUCAGACGUCAACCAGGGCCUGUUUUGCAAUGUCUGCCUCGGUAAGAGGGUGAUUUAUGAAAGCGAUUUGGGA